rnacentral:rRNA from 1 species
CGGGAAACUGGGGAUAAUCCCUGAUAGAUCUCGGUCGCUGGAAUGCUCCGAGAUCCAAAGCUACGGCGCGCAAGGAUGGGUCGGCGGCCGAUCAGGUAGUAGUGGGUGUAGCGUACCUACUAGCCUUCGACGGGUACGGGUUGUGAGAGCAAGAGCCCGGAGAUGGAUUCUGAGACACGAAUCCAGGCCCUACGGGGUGCAGCAGGCGCGAAAACUUUACAAUGCCGGCAACGGCGAUCAGGGAACCUCGAGUGCCAGGUUACAAAUCUGGCUGUCGUGAUGCCUCAAACGCAUUGCAUAGCAAGGGCCGGGCAAGACCGGUGCCAGCCGCCGCGGUAACA